rnacentral:misc_RNA from 1 species
AUGUCCCACCUGCCCACUUGGAUAAUCAGGUCUAAAUAUUCCAAUAUGAAUAUAGCAUCAAAUGGGUUCCCUAAUUGUUUCAACACUACAAGCAGAACCAUAUUUUGAGAUACACAUUGAUUUCUCUCAAACACUAACCAGGCAGACUACCUACAAAAGAUCUACAUAUAUAAUGGUUCACAAAUGCAUAUGUAUGUCAUAUUUUCAAGGUUCACUGAAGGAAACCAUCCUUUAAA